CAAUAGUUUGAUUCUAGCUACCAUAUUGGCUAUAAUAAAAUAUAAUACAUGCAAUCUACCGAUCCCCCGUGAAAUACAUACACAUCUCAAUGCUUAACCUCAUAUGGAUAAGAUCAACUAACAUCCAACUUCACGCCUGCAGUAAAGCAUUUUGCCCUAAGUUAAACUUAUAUUACAGAUAUUAUAUUAAGUGCUGACAAAAUUCGUGCCAGCCGUCGCGGUUAUACGAUAAGCACAAGCCAACAAUUAAUCGGAGCUACUUUGGUAUAAACUAAAUAUUAAAAUGGUACAAUAUAUAUAAUAAAAUAAAUAUAACCAAUACCCCUAUUUACGAAAAAAUAAACAAAAACAAGGAUUAGAUACCCUUUUAUCUUAUUUCAUUCCCUCGCUCCGGGCACUACGAACUCAUGUUUAAAACCUAAAGAACUUGGCGGCACUUUAUGCUAUUAGGGGAAUCUGUCACAUAACUCGCCAAUCCACGUUAAACCCUUCUUGUUAUUGAAUUCAGCUUGUAUACUGCCGUCGCAAGCCCGCAUUAAGUUAAAAUUGCUGGCAGCACCAGACCCCCCCCCCUCUUGGACGUCAGGUCAAUGUGCAGCUUAUUAACAAGGUUAGAUGGAUUACACUAAAAACAAAAUAGGUUGACGACCAUGAACAGUCGUUAUAAUAUGGACUUAAUAGUAAAACACUAAUAGUAUGAGUGAUUGAAUUAGCAAUUUAAAGUGUGCACAAAUCGCCCGUCACUCUCACCGAAAGGCGAGAUAAGUCGUAACAUAGUAGGCGUAACUGAAGUUGUGCCUU
rnacentral:rRNA from 1 species